CCAAUACCGCAUACGUCCUACGGGGAGAAGCUAGGGGGACUCUUCGGGCCUUGCGCUAUCAGAUGAGCCUAGGUCGGAUUAGCUAGUUGGUGAGGUAAUGGCUCACCAAGGCGACGAUCCGUAACUGGUCUGAGAGGAUGAUCAGUCACACUGGAACUGAGACACGGUCCAGACUCCUACGGGAGGCAGCAGUGGGGAAUAUUGGACAAUGGGCGAAAGCCUGAUCCAGCCAUGCCGCGUGUGUGAAGAAGGUCUUCGGAUUGUAAAGCACUUUAAGUUGGGAGGAAGGGCAUUAACCUAAUACCUUAGUGUUUUGACGUUACCGACAGAAUAAGCACCGGCUAACUUCGUGCCAGCAGCCGCGGUAAUACGAAGGGUGCAAGCGUUAAUCGGAAUUACUGGGCGUAAAGCGCGCGUAGGUGGUUUGUUAAGUUGAAUGUGAAAGCCCCGGGCUCAACCUGGGAACUGCAUCCAAAACUGGCAAGCUAGAGUAUGGCAGAGGGUGGUGGAAUUUCCUGUGUAGCGGUGAAAUGCGUAGAUAUAG
rnacentral:rRNA from 1 species